UACGUAGGGCGCAAGCGUUGUCCGGAAUUAUUGGGCGUAAAGAGCUCGUAGGCGGCUUGUCACGUCGGUUGUGAAAGCCCGGGGCUUAACCCCGGGUCUGCAGUCGAUACGGGCAGGCUAGAGUGUGGUAGGGGAGACUGGAAUUCCUGGUGUAGCGGUGAAAUGCGCAGAUAUCAGGAGGAACACCGGUGGCGAAGGCGGGUCUCUGGGCCGAUACUGACGCUGAGGAGCGAAAGCGUGGGGAGCAAACAGG
rnacentral:rRNA from 1 species